rnacentral:lncRNA from 7 species
UUUAUCUUGUACGUUUCAAACAUCAGGUGACCCUCGAUUUGUUUCUGUCACUUAAUUGCCAUGUGAUCAUAAACCAUUCAAUUAUGGAGAAUUUGCAGUUCCACAUGCCGCCUCAUAGUUUAUGUAUCUUUAAUAUUAGGUAUACAUGAUGAUCAAAGAUUUCGGAAGUCAAAUUGGCAAAAAGAAUGUGUGCCUUAUAAACAUAGGAUGUAACACAAACAGGAAAGGUGAAAAGGUAUUUUUAUCUGAUGUCAAAAAAAUA